CCUCGUCAGUGUAAAAUUUCAAUGCCCAGACUCCAUUGUUAACGAAAUCCACGCGCCGUUGAUCUCCAAACAUCUUCAAUUGCAUUUCCGUGGAAACUCUAGCCCUAACUUUGGACCCAACUUUCAAAAUCCAUGAGGGGCUAUCUCCACCUUGAGAUUCCUCUUCUUGAUCAGAACCAUCACUGCCGUCGACUUUACAGUUUUUAACGAAUUUGUAAGAAGUGCGCUUAUCAGAGAUGACCCACUUGGCGGAAGGGGUGUUGCCGCCGAUAUGGAGAUACAGCUUGACCGGUUGAUUAGGGAGAUCAUGUUGGGAAUUUGGGUAUUUGAGCUUUAGAGAUUUGAGUUUGGUAUCGAUUUCGUCUAGAGCUUUUCUAGAUGAGGUAGAUGAGGUGCUUCGAGGGGUCUCUUGGCGCUGAACGGCGUCGUAGUGGACUUCUUCUUCCUGCUCCUCCUCCGAUUGGUAGUCUGAUUCAGAGUCUGAGAGGUCUUGACCUUCGCGGCUCUGAGAGGUGCCCAUGUUUGGAUUUCAGAUAGAGAGAGAGAGAGAGAGAGAGAGA
rnacentral:misc_RNA from 1 species